ACCUGGUGCAGGGACAUGCUCUUCACGUAGGUCUCGGCCGUGGUGACGAGCUUGCGGUGGCACAGCCAGUGCUGCAUCUGGCUGUGCUCCACGCCCAGCAGGCUGCAGAAGUUGCUCAGGUGCUCGUCCUCGCUCUGGGAAGUAAAGUCAGCAGGCUGGCUAGAGAGGAGGAAAAAUGAGUUAUUUCCCAGGACAAACAAAGCAACUAGGAACUUUUGAUGUGUUUUCAAAAAGGGCAAGAAAACCAGGAGGAAAAAGGCUUUCCAGCCAAGGACAUGAGCCCAGCCUGACUCCUGAGCACACCAAGCUCCCCACUCCUGAGGGUGACCUACCGACACACUGCAGACCUCCCCAUCUCGUUCCCCUUGGAUUUUCAAGUUCCCCAGGUGCAGAAUGGCAGCAAUUAUCCUAAAAAUGGUCAUCUGAUGAGACUCCUUCACUCCUGCGGGAACAAUUGAUGGCUGAUUGUCACAAAGGAAAAUGAAACACGAUUUUCAGUUUAUUUGAAGGUGCUUGCAGUGCUCUAUUUCCUCCCGAGGCAAUUGGUUUUCAGAAUCAUGAGGCUUCUUCCAGCAAAUACACCUUAAACUCUCAAUUUUAACACGGAUGGGUUUAAUACACACAAACCCAAGGAUGCUGCUCCACAGUGAUCAAACAGGAGGAGAGUUACAGGGGCUCUGCAGCUUUCACAGAGCAAGGAAUUGCUCGUCUGUCAUCACAGUCUGCUGGCAACCAAAGCACACAAACUACAAAUUACACUUACUCCAACAUCCCACAAAAAGAAGGGAAAAUUAAAGUCCUGCACCACGCCUCCACACUGGUGGCACAGCUGGAUGCAGCAAGUCACCAGGGAGGUGAUGGGGAGCUCUGCCUUACCAUCCCCAGUGUCUCCACAAGAGACACUUGUGGGUCUUUACUGGGGGUGUAAGAUGUUAUUGCUUUGUGUGUUUUAUUUAUAUAUUGCUUUAUCUAUUUUUCUUUACAGGCAUUCCCAGCAGGGGCUUUGCUCAGCAGCAGCCCACACGUGGCCUUCUUGCCAUAUCUUGCAUUUUUUAAAUAUCCCAGCUGGGUUUCUGUGUCCCUUUUGUGCUCAGGGCCGGUGUCCUAAUUAUCCACCCAAGGUCUGAGACAUCACCUGCUGGUUUCUGAAUUAUCCAGAGCCUCCCUUUCUCUCUCUCGGGACUUUUCUGUUAUCAGCACAGUGAGAAAUGUUUCAAGGUUACUGAAAGGAGCAAUGCUCUGCUCUCACUUGGAACUCUUAGCUGGAGUUAAGCCUGGCUAGGAUUGGGGAUUUGCAGACACACAAAAAGGCAAGACUGGAAACUGCAGUAGCAAUUUCACCAGGCCAUGAACAGAAGCAGAGCUGGGAAACACUGAAGGAAAAUGAGGAAAAGCAGAGACAGAGGAGCACGUGAAGAACAGAAAAUCAUCAUCAGAAUGGCCCCAGAGGAAGAUGGUCUCAUAGGGCUUCCCAGGGACCAGCAAGGAGACAGGGGAGCUGCUUGGGGAGCCAGAGAAGGGGAGCAAAGAGAGAUUACACAUGCCAGGGGGGUGGGGAGAGAGUUCUCCCAGGAUUGCAGUCCUGUGGGCAAGUUUGGAGCAAACAGGAAUCAUAUCACUUGAGUAGUUAACAACAGAACCCACACAAGCUGAACAAGAGGAGGGUAAAGACAAGACCCCAAAGAGAAAGAGAUGACACCCAUCUAAAACACAAAGAGGACAAAUUUUGGGGAAACAAGUGCAAUUCUAGAGCUUGCAGUGAGUCCCCACACUCACUGCAGGCACAGCUGGUCAGGGGAUUUCACAGGCAACUCUAAAUAUCAUGUGUAAUAAUAAUUAUUACAAAUUACAACCCGUGGAAAGGAACCAAGAGGUACCAAGACUCACCAGGAUUUAUAAACAUGGUUUCAGAUAAGUACAAAUACUCUGGGCGAGUUUUCCCUUGCAGAUAGUUUUUCCUUUCAAAGAGCCCUGCUGCAGGCAGGGCACAGCUCUGCUCCCCUGCUGCCAGCACGGGGGCUGGACACAGCCACAGCUCCUGCAGCUGCCAUGUGGAUGUGGACUCUGCACAGCAGGGAUGUACUCAGCUCAUUAUUUCCAGGAAUCAGCUACCCAGCACAGCACUGUGAUCCUGCAAGUGACAUCACCCUCAACCACAACACAGACUGAACUGCACAGUAAUAGCUCUUUUCCUGCUCGUAAACACGGUAAAAAAUAGCAAAUCAAUACUGCAGCCCUGCUUUGACUUCAGAAUGGUUUCUCUUAAAUUCUGCAUCCCUCUCCAUUUCACUGCUGCUCCACAGACAGCUGCUAGAAACACUCCUGCAGCUCCUACUAAAGAGCAAAGUAAAGCCAACUAGGUCAACAGGACCGUCAUAAUUCAGGCAAAACACUGAAAACAAUUGCCAGACUUCUGCUGGGCAGGCCUCAAGCAGAGCAACUCCUUACCAAGCAGGGUGAAGGCAUGUCUGGUCUUCUCAAAGUCAACAGCAUCAUCCACGCCAUCGAUGGACGUGUCACCUCCCUGAGAAGUGUAGAAAAAGUCUUCAGCACACGCUAGGAGAGAAGAAAGAGGAGAAACAGGUCAUCAAGCAGUCCUUCCUACUGUCACCAUUGAGUCAGGAACAGAUAAUAAGUGACACAAACCCUAGGUCAGAGGCUAGAAACCCUGAGUUUAUUGGAACCCCUUCUUUGAUGCGCUGUUCCAAUACAGGGGGACCUGAUUACUCAUUUAAUCAACACAUUUCACAUGACUGGCUAAUUAAGAAGACGCCCCUUGGUAAACAUCUUAUGAGAAAAACAACUUGUUCGAAACACCACCUGCAGAUAGUUUACAAUUCUUUCUCUCCACCUCCCUAAAACUUCCCAGACCAAUUCAUGGGAAAUCUUAUCUAGCUUUCUCCCCAGACCAAUCCAUGGGAAAGCUUAUCUAGGCUUCCCUCUCUCUGACCAGACUGUGGUAUCCACUCCCUGUGCCCAUCCCUGAAGGACACCUGAGUCCUUUGAACCACAGUUUGCUCGGGGGUGGAUGAAGCAGAACCUUGGCAAGUGGCUGCAGCUGCUUCUUGCAGUGGUGAAAUCUCUUCUCCAUGCACAGCAAGUGCAGCCUGUGGUGUAUUUGGGAUUCUAGUAACAGCUCUAUCACAUGGGGGAAGACCACUUCAGAUACUGAGGUGGCUCCUUUCAGUAAAUCCUCAUCCUGUUUUACACAUCCGUGACUGAUUCAGGUAUUUUAACACCUUUUCUACACAAAGCCUUAAUCCUUGGGAGCAAAGGGAAUGGAUAAUGGCUCAUGGUGCCUGCAUUACACCACCUGAACAUCUGUGCUUUAGCAAAGUUACUCCAGGAUGACACCAAUAAACCCUGUGGAGGCUUGAGAGGCAUUUCCAAUGCAAAUACAACAAGAAGAGAUUGCAGGAUUUGUGUCCACUUAAGAAAGCUGCACGUGUAAUCCUCCUCCUUUAAACAAGCCCCCAGGAGGCCCAGAGCAGUGAGAGGUGUGCCCACGGCUGCUGGCUGAGCCCUGGCAGAGCCAGAGCUUUUCCCUUCAAGGGCUGGGGGAGCACAGCCCCUGGACAGCCUCCCCACCCAGAAUCAGUUCUCAGCACCAGCCUCAGCCUGUUUUGAACUGAGUAGGAGUCAUUAGCCAAAACCCACUCAUUAACACACACAAACACAUUUCCCAAACAUGGUGAAUAGAGAGAAGGAAGCCUACUGUACUCCACACCAGUGUUACCUAGUGGUAACCUUUAAAAUCAUUGCAAUCUGCACUUUUCUUGACUCAAAUUGCCACCAGAAGCUUCCCCCUCCCUUCCCAGGCCUCCCACAGGCUUCUGCAUUAGCUGUACUUUCAGGCUGUAAAGAAAAACAUUUAAUUGCUUUUGGCACACAAAGCCCUGCGACCCAGAGAUUUCGGUAAUUCCACGCGUUGCUGGAGCAUCAGGAGCGAGGGGCAGACAAUGCUGAUUGGGGUCAGGCAGACAAUCUCCCUCCUGGUCCCCCAGCACAACGGGAACUCACCCAGCCCGUGGUGGAGCACAUCACACUCACAGCCUGGUGCUGCUGCACAUCGCCCUGCAAGAUGCAGCCAGGGCUGGUGUGGGACCAGGAUGCCAGCUUUCGAUUUUCAACAUUCACACUGGCACCUGCUCCUGCCUCAAGUCAUCCCUGAUAUAACUGACUCCAGUCUCUGUAUUUCAAGAUCUCCGUAAUUAUUUUAACCACACAAACCCUUUGAUUCACUGCAAACAAAUAAAGCACAUUUCUGCCUUGCACCACUGCCCAGGCAUCAUUAAGCUAGACACCACACUUCAAAAGGCACUUGCAUUGCACAUCACCAUUUAAAGUCAAAUAUUUACUUUCUAGUUUAAAAUUAAACCCGUUAGGAUCACUCUGACUGAAGCCAGCACUGGUCUGCUUUGCUGGGCUUAUGUAUGUUUAGAGACUCUUUUUGUUUUCCAGCAUCUUGCAACAUAAAAGGAAGUAAUAACAAUUCUCUGUAUUUGUAAGACUCAAAGGAGAAUCAAUAGCUCCUGGUUUUUAGAUGGAAAAAUAUACAUCCUCCUCCAUGAGUAAUAAAUAAAAAGUGGAUUUUCACAUCAAGACACCUCUUGUUUUGUAUAAGCCUUGGGAAGAAAAGAUUGACAGAAAAGACCCAGACUAUUGAAUACCUGGAAUACAGCACCCAAAAGAAAAAAAGGACAAAGCCCCACCACUCCUCACCUGAAACACAACCC